GCCGGGGUGGCGGAAUUGGUAGACGCGCUAGAUUCAGGUUCUAGUGUCCGAAUGGAUGUGCGAGUUCGAAUCUCGCCCUCGGCACCA
rnacentral:tRNA from 1 species